GAAGCGGCCAACCCGCAUUCCCUUCCUCUGCUGCACUUUCCCUUUCAAGGUUCUCAGGGUAAUUAGUGCCUUGCUAAUGACACACCUUUCCAGCGCCUGCCCAGGUGCAAGGAAGCGAUUGCUCAUUCCAGGCCGAGGCCGUGUCCUCACAAGCCGAGGGGAAGCGGCUCAAGCGCCGGCGGCGCAGCGGGGAGAAGCGGGCCGACGUCGCUCGGGGUGCGCCCGGGGCCGUCCCUCGCUCCCUCUCCUCCGCCCAUCCCUGCUUCGCCCCUGCCGGGACACUCAGCCCGCGACUGCGCUUCUUCCUUCUCGGCGCCGCUGUACAUCUGCCGGGAAAUAUGUGGAGGGCGGACGGGUGAAUCAUACACAGAUCUGCUAAUUCCCCCUUCUCCAUCUCUCCAAUGAGAAGAGAAAGGACAUGAAAUCCACUGCUGAGAAACUGAGUUUUGGUGCCACUUCUUGUCUUGAGUGCUUACUGGCUUCACUGACUACAUGGAAAGGCUGUUAGAAAUGGGUGUUGUAUACAAUUCCACAGGUAAGCUUUAUAACAGUUCUCUUGACCAUUACUGUUUCAACUGCUCCG
rnacentral:lncRNA from 1 species